rnacentral:rRNA from 2 species
UGCAUAUCAAAAAAGCGGAGGAAAAGAAACUAACAAGGAUUCCCCUAGUAACUGCGAGUGAAGCGGGAAAAGCUCAAAUUUAAAAUCUGGUGGUCUUUGGCCAUCCGAGUUGUAAUCUAGAGAAGUGUUAUCCGCGCUGGACCGUGUACAAGUCCCCUGGAAUGGGGCGUCAUAGAGGGUGAGAAUCCCGUCUUUGACACGGACUACCAGGGCUUUGUGAUGCACUCUCAAAGAGUCGAGUUGUUUGGGAAUGCAGCUCAAAAUGGGUGGUAAAUUCCAUCUAAAGCUAAAUAUUGGCGAGAGACCGAUAGCGAACAAGUACCGUGAGGGAAAGAUGAAAAGAACUUUGGAAAGAGAGUUAAACAGUACGUGAAAUUGUUGAAAGGGAAACGCUUGAAGUCAGUCGCGUCUGCCAGGGAUCAACCUUACUUUUGUGAGGCGUACUUCCUGGUUGAUGGGUCAGCAUCAGUUUUGGUCGCUGGAUAAAGGUCAGAGAAAUGUGGCACCUUCGGGUGUGUUAUAGUCUUUGAUCAGAUACAGUGGCUGGGACUGAGGAACUCAGCGCCGCAAGGCUGUCUUAGGAUGCUGGCAAAAUGGCUUUAAUCGACCCGUCUUGAAACACGGACAAAGGAGUC